GACGAACGCUGGCGGCGUGCUUAACACAUGCAAGUCGAACGAUGAUGCCCAGCUUGCUGGGUGGAUUAGUGGCGAACGGGUGAGUAACACGUGAGUAACCUGCUCCUGACUCUGGGAUAAGCGUUGGAAACGACGUCUAAUACUGGAUAUGACUGCCGGCCGCAUGGUCUGGUGGUGGAAAGAUUUUUUGGUAGGGGAUGGACUCGCGGCCUAUCAGCUUGUUGGUGAGGUAAUGGCUCACCAAGGCGACGACGGGUAGCCGGCCUGAGAGGGUGACCGGCCACACUGGGACUGAGACACGGCCCAGACUCCUACGGGAGGCAGCAGUGGGGAAUAUUGCACAAUGGGCGAAAGCCUGAUGCAGCAACGCCGCGUGAGGGAUGACGGCCUUCGGGUUGUAAACCUCUUUUAGUAGGGAAGAAGCGAAAGUGACGGUACCUGCAGAAAAAGCACCGGCUAACUACGUGCCAGCAGCCGCAGUAAGAC
rnacentral:rRNA from 1 species